rnacentral:rRNA from 1 species
GUUGAGCGCUGAAGGUUGGUACUUGUACCAACUGGAUGAGCAGCGAACGGGUGAGUAACGCGUGGGGAAUCUGCCUUUGAGCGGGGGACAACAUUUGGAAACGAAUGCUAAUACCGCAUAAAAACUUUAAACACAAGUUUUAAGUUUGAAAGAUGCAAUUGCAUCACUCAAAGAUGAUCCCGCGUUGUAUUAGCUAGUUGGUGAGGUAAAGGCUCACCAAGGCGAUGAUACAUAGCCGACCUGAGAGGGUGAUCGGCCACAUUGGGACUGAGACACGGCCCAAACUCCUACGGGAGGCAGCAGUAGGGAAUCUUCGGCAAUGGACGAAAGUCUGACCGAGCAACGCCGCGUGAGUGAAGAAGGUUUUCGGAUCGUAAAACUCUGUUGGUAGAGAAGAACGUUGGUGAGAGUGGAAAGCUCAUCAAGUGACGGUAACUACCCAGAAAGGGACGGCUAACUACGUGCCAGCAGCCGCGGUAAUACGUAGGUCCCGAGCGUUGUCCGGAUUUAUUGGGCGUAAAGCGAGCGCAGGUGGUUUAUUAAGUCUGGUGUAAAAGGCAGUGGCUCAACCAUUGUAUGCAUUGGAAACUGGUAGACUUGAGUGCAGGAGAGGAGAGUGGAAUUCCAUGUGUAGCGGUGAAAUGCGUAGAUAUAUGGAGGAACACCGGUGGCGAAAGCGGCUCUCUGGCCUGUAACUGACACUGAGGCUCGAAAGCGUGGGGAGCAAACAGGAUUAGAUACCCUGGUAGUCCACGCCGUAAACGAUGAGUGCUAGAUGUAGGGAGCUAUAAGUUCUCUGUAUCGCAGCUAACGCAAUAAGCACUCCGCCUGGGGAGUACGACCGCAAGGUUGAAACUCAAAGGAAUUGACGGGGGGCCCGCACAAGCGGUGGAGCAUGUGGUUUAAUUUCGAAGCAACGCGAAGAACCUUACCAGGUCUUGACAUACUCGUGCUAUUCCUAGAGAUAGGAAGUUCCUUCGGGACACGGGAUACAGGUGGUGCAUGGUUUGUCGUCAGCUCGUGUCGUGAAGAAUGUUGGGUUAAGUCCCGCAACGAGCGCAACCCCUAUUGUUAGUUGCCAUCAUUAAGUUGGGCACUCUAACGAGACUGCCGGUGAUAAACCGGAGGAAGGUGGGGAUGACGUCAAAUCAUCAUGCCCCUUAUGACCUGGGCUACACACGUGCUACAAUGGAUGGUACAACGAGUCGCGAGACAGUGAUGUUUAGCUAAUCUCUUAAAACCAUUCUCAGUUCGGAUUGUAGGCUGCAACUCGCCUACAUGAAGUCGGAAUCGCUAGUAAUCGCGGAUCAGCACGCCGCGGUGAAUACGUUCCCGGGCCUUGUACACACCGCCCGUCACACCACGGGAGUUGGGAGUACCCGAAGUAGGUUGCCUAACCGCAAGGAGGGCGC